UAACCAUGUUGGGGGCAUCUUCUAAGUAGAUCUUUGAAUCUCUCCCAAGCUUCAUAGAAUGAUUCAAAGUCAACUUGUCUGAACUGACCAAUUUCACUCUACAAUUGAGCUG
rnacentral:snoRNA from 1 species